CGCCAGGUUGAUUCUGCCUGACGUAGACGCUAUUCCCUAAGAUUAACCCAUGCAUGUUUUUGACAUUUGAAAAAUGGACUGCUCAGUAAUACUCACUUUAUUUUAUGUAAAUUUUUGAUUAAUUAACUACGUUAAAGUGUAGAUAAGAUGUUUACAGUAAGAGUGAGACCUAUCAGCUAGUUGUUAAGGUAAUGGCUUAACAAGGCUGUGACGGGUAACGGUAUUACUUUGUAAUAUUCCGGAGAAGGAGCCUGAGAGACGGCUACUAAGUCUAAGGAUUGCAGCAGGGGCGAAACUUGACCUAUGGAUUUUAUCUGAGGCAGUUAUGGGAAGUAAUAUUAUAUUGUUUCAUAUUUUAAAAGUAUAUGAGGUGAUUAAUUGGAGGGCAAAUCAAGUGCCAGCAGCCGCGGUAAUACUUGUUCCAAGAGUGUGUAUGAUGAUUGAUGCAGUUAAAAAGUCCGUAGUUUAUUUUUUUAAGAAGCAAUAUGAGGUGUACUGUAUAGUUGGGAGAAAGAUGAAAUGUGACGACCCUGACUGGACGAACAGAAGCGAAAGCU
rnacentral:rRNA from 1 species